AGCACCCAAUGGUCUCGGAGUAC
rnacentral:siRNA from 1 species